CCGCGACCCCAUGUCAGGCGGGACUA
rnacentral:rRNA from 1 species